rnacentral:lncRNA from 1 species
CUGUAGUAGCAGCAAAAACCAAAACAUACGUAUGACGUUGUUGGGGCUCAAAGUGCUGCUAGUCAUGGGAUAUAAGAAUGGGCGCCUACCCCGCUCCUAUCAAGCUUCCCUGACAGACCCACCACUGCCGAGAAGGAUGCAUUCGUACAAGGCUCUGACCAUAUUUGCUCUCGUUGUACUCCACACCGCGAUGAUAUGCUUCUGCAAGCCAAAGCUUACUUCUGAAGUCCGCAGUAGAAGUGACGUAACUACAUCUUCAGAUAAAUGCGAUAAAGAGUGCACCAAAAACGGGAC